UACGGGGGGGGCAAGCGUUGUUCGGAAUUACUGGGCGUAAAGGGCUCGUAGGUGGCCAACUAAGUCUGACGUGAAAUCCCUCAGCUUAACUGGGGAACUGCGUCUGAUACUGGAUGGCUUGAGUUUGGGAGAGGGAUGCGGAAUUCCAGGUGUAGCGGUGAAAUGCGUAGAUAUCUGGAGGAACACCGGUGGCGAAGGCGGCAUCCUGGACCAAUACUGACACUGAGGAGCGAAAGCCAGGGGAGCAAACGGG
rnacentral:rRNA from 1 species